rnacentral:rRNA from 1 species
GUGCCAGCAGCCGCGGUAAUACGAAGGGUGCAAACGUUGCUCGGAAUCAUUGGGCGUAAAGCGCACGUAGGCGGCUUUGCAAGUCUGACGUGAAAUCCCUCAGCUCAACUGAGGAAGUGCAUCGGAAACUGCAAGGCUUGAGUACUGAAGAGGAUCGCGGAAUUCCCGGUGUAGAGGUGAAAUUCGUAGAUAUCGGGAGGAACACCAGUGGCGAAGGCGGCGAUCUGGGCAGAUACUGACGCUGAGGUGCGAAAGCGUGGGGAGCAAACAGGAUUAGAUACCCCGGUAGUCC